AUUGAACGCUGGCGGCAGGCCUAACACAUGCAAGUCGAACGGCAGCGGGGAGUAGCUUGCUACUCUGCCGGCGAGUGGCGGACGGGUGAGUAAUGCCUGGGGAGCUGCCCAAUCGAGGGGGAUACCAGUUGGAAACGACUGCUAAUACCGCAUACGCCCUGAGGGGGAAAGGUGGGGAUUUUCGGACCUAUCGCGAUUGGAUGCACCCAGGUGGGAUUAGCUAGUUGGUGAGGUAACGGCUCACCAAGGCGACGAUCUCUAGCUGGUUUGAGAGGAUGACCAGCCACACUGGAACUGAGACACGGUCCAGACUCCUACGGGAGGCAGCAGUGGGGAAUAUUGCACAAUGGGGGAAACCCUGAUGCAGCCAUGCCGCGUGUGUGAAGAAGGCCUUCGGGUUGUAAAGCACUUUCAGUCAGGAGGAAAGGUGGCUAGCUAAUAUCUAGUUGCUGUGACGUUACUGACAGAAGAAGCACCGGCUAACUCCGUG
rnacentral:rRNA from 1 species